rnacentral:rRNA from 1 species
UACAGAGGUCCCGAGCGUUGUUCGGAUUCACUGGGCGUAAAGGGUGCGUAGGUGGCGAUGAAAGUUCGAUGUGAAAUCUCCGGGCUUAACCCGGAAAAGGCAUUGAAAACUAUGUUGCUUGAGGUUUGGAGGGGGGACUGGAAUUCUUGGUGUAGCAGUGAAAUGCGUAGAUAUCAAGAGGAACACCAGUGGCGAAGGCGGGUCCCUGGACAACACCUGACACUGAGGCACGAAAGCUAGGGGAGCAAACAG